UAAAUUUAUUUAAAUAUAAUCAAAUAAUAACGAGAUAUCUCUAAAAUGUCAGCUGAAAUGUUUGCAUUAAUUUGGUGGAUACACUCAAAAAAAUCCAGUGUGAUUCCUUACAAUGAAAUUAACUUUUCCGCAAAAAAAAAGCUUCGGUUCUACAGAAAAAGAAAUUUCACUCUGUUGAAAUUUUGAGGACAAGUGACAAAGCUUGGCUUGAGUCGUUAGAAGUAGAUGGUGAUGGAAACGUUUGUGUUCCGAAAGAUAAAAAACACAAGAGAAACCUGAGGGCUCGGGAAAUAAUUCUCGUAAAAGUGAGUCAUUUGAGGGUAAAAGUUCACAGAGGAGUUCCCAAUGUUUUAAUUGUCCUUUGUAUAACUUAAAAAAUGCUGAAUCUCAACGUUACAUUGGAUUCUUGCAAGAUGUCGUCGGAUUCCUCAAAGUUCAUGGUUGUUCUUCAUCUUCAUCCUCUAAAACGUUUGUUGAACGAUUCUCCGGCAUCUUGUCCUUCAGCGAGUGGUUCUUCUAAGAUGCCAUGGACUUUAUCGGGGCCUCGAAAGGAAACAAAUGAUAGAUUUUGGGUGAAAAAUAAUCUAAAUGCAUAAUUUUUUAAUAAAUAGGUUGAAUUGCAUCCAAUGAGUGAUGUGUAUAUUUAAUCAUGCGAGUUGGAAUACCUCAAAACCAAAUACAUUUAUGACUCGAAAGAAAUGUCGAGACAGAUUUUCAAGAAAGUUAUUGGGACAGACAAUCUACGAAAAAUGAGCCGCAUGGGUGGAAACGGGUGGACACAGUUGCCAAAUGAUAUAUUUAUUCACUGCUGUUUACGGUAGAGUUAAUUUGCAUCACAGAUGCCAUCAGUGUUCACAAUAAUUAAAUGCUCUUUUCGAAAAACUAUUGCCAGAUACUAAAAUAAUACAUACAAUAAUUUAAAUAAUAUAUGUUUCAGGUUUUAUUUCAAAGAAUGCUCGGCCAAA